rnacentral:rRNA from 1 species
CCUACGGGUGGCAGCAGUGAGGAAUAUUGGUCAAUGGGCGAGAGCCUGAACCAGCCAAGUCGCGUGAGGGAGUACUGCCCUAUGGAUUGUAAACCUCUUUUGUCAGGGAGCAAAGUCACCCACGUGUGGGUGUUGGAGAGUACCUGAAGAAAAAGCAUCGGCUAACUCCGUGCCAGCAGCCGCGGUAAUACGGAGGAUGCGAGCGUUAUCCGGAUUUAUUGGGUUUAAAGGGUGCGUAGGCGGGUUAUCAAGUCAGCGGUAAAAUCGUGGAGCUCAACUCCAUCCAGCCGUUGAAACUGAUGAUCUAGAGUGGGCGAGAAGUAUGCGGAAUGCGUGGUGUAGCGGUGAAAUGCAUAGAUAUCACGCAGAACUCCGAUUGCGAAGGCAGCAUACCGGCGCCCGACUGACGCUGAAGCACGAAAGCGUGGGUAGCGAACAGGAUUAGAUACCCGAGUAGUC